rnacentral:rRNA from 1 species
ACGGGUGAGUAACACGUGAGUAACCUGCCCUUGACUCUGGGAUAAGCCUGGGAAACUGGGUCUAAUACCGGAUAUGACCUUCCAUCGCAUGGUGGUUGGUGGAAAGCUUUUGUGGUUUUGGAUGGACUCGCGGCCUAUCAGCUUGUUGGUGGGGUAAUGGCCUACCAAGGCGACGACGGGUAGCCGGCCUGAGAGGGUGACCGGCCACACUGGGACUGAGACACGGCCCAGACUCCUACGGGAGGCAGCAGUGGGGAAUAUUGCACAAUGGGCGCAAGCCUGAUGCAGCGACGCCGCGUGAGGGAUGACGGCCUUCGGGUUGUAAACCUCUUUCAGUAGGGAAGAAGCCGCAAGGUGACGGUACCUGCAGAAGAAGCGCCGGCUAACUACGUGCCAGCAGCCGCGGUAAUACGUAGGGCGCAAGCGUUAUCCGGAAUUAUUGGGCGUAAAGAGCUCGUACGCGGUUUGUCGCGUCUGCCGUGAAAGUCCGGGGCUCAACUCCAGAUCUGCGGUGGGUACGGGCAGACUAGAGUGAUGUAGGGGAGACUGGAAUUCCUGGUGUAGCGGUGAAAUGCGCAUA